GACAGAGGUGCCGAGCGUUAGGCGGAAUCACUGGGCUUAAAGCGUGUGUAGGUGGAUGCCUAAGUACCUUGUGAAAUCCCACGGCUUAACCGUGGAACUGCUUGGUAUACUGGGUGUCUUGAGCCAGCUAGGGGCUACCGGAACAAAUGGUGGAGCGGUGAAAUGCGUAGAUAUCAUUUGGAACGCCAAUGGUGAAAACAGGUAGCUGGGGCUGUGCUGACACUGGAGACACGAAAGCCAGGGGAGCGAACGGG
rnacentral:rRNA from 1 species